rnacentral:antisense_RNA from 1 species
UGUGGGAGCUGGCUUGCCAGCGAUGAGGCCGUCACGCUCGGCAUCAAGGGUGUCUGACCCAAUGCCAUCGCUGGCAAGCCAGCUCCCACA